GACGAACGCUGGCGGCGUGCUUAACACAUGCAAGUCGAACGGACAGGCCCUGCUUUUGUGCGGUUCUCGAGUGCCGAACGCGUGAGUGACACAUGUGUAACCUCCCCUUGACUUUGGGAUAUCUUCUGGAAACUGGGGCUAAUACCGCAUAUAAGCUCCUGCUGCAUGGUGUUGGUUGGAAAGUUUCGGCGGUUGUGGAUGGACUCGCGGGUUAUCCGCUUGUUGGUGGGGUAGUUGCUUACCAAGGGUUUGACGGGUAGCCGGCCUGGGAGGGUGACCGGCCACCAUGGUACUGAGAUACGGACCAGACGCGUACGGGAGGCAGUGGGCGGAAGUAUGGCGCAACGAGCGGGAGCCAGAGGCAGAGGCGCCGGGUGCGUGAUGACGGCCUUCGAGGGGUAAACCGCUUUCGCCGGUGACGUAGCGGGAGUGACGGUAAUUGGUAAAGAAGCAACGGCUAACUACGUG
rnacentral:rRNA from 1 species